rnacentral:rRNA from 1 species
GCUUCUUUUUCACCGGAGCUUGCUCCACCGGAAAAAGAAGAGUGGCGAACGGGUGAGUAACACGUGGGUAACCUGCCCAUCAGAAGGGGAUAACACUUGGAAACAGGUGCUAAUACCGUAUAACAAUCGAAACCGCAUGGUUUUGAUUUGAAAGGCGCUUUCGGGUGUCGCUGAUGGAUGGACCCGCGGUGCAUUAGCUAGUUGGUGAGGUAACGGCUCACCAAGGCCACGAUGCAUAGCCGACCUGAGAGGGUGAUCGGCCACAUUGGGACUGAGACACGGCCCAAACUCCUACGGGAGGCAGCAGUAGGGAAUCUUCGGCAAUGGACGAAAGUCUGACCGAGCAACGCCGCGUGAGUGAAGAAGGUUUUCGGAUCGUAAAACUCUGUUGUUAGAGAAGAACAAGGAUGAGAGUAACUGUUCAUCCCUUGACGGUAUCUAACCAGAAAGCCACGGCUAACUACGUGCCAGCAGCCGCGGUAAUACGUAGGUGGCAAGCGUUGUCCGGAUUUAUUGGGCGUAAAGCGAGCGCAGGCGGUUUCUUAAGUCUGAUGUGAAAGCCCCCGGCUCAACCGGGGAGGGUCAUUGGAAACUGGGAGACUUGAGUGCAGAAGAGGAGAGUGGAAUUCCAUGUGUAGCGGUGAAAUGCGUAGAUAUAUGGAGGAACACCAGUGGCGAAGGCGGCUCUCUGGUCUGUAACUGACGCUGAGGCUCGAAAGC